rnacentral:rRNA from 1 species
UACGUAGGGGGCAAGCGUUGUCCGGAUUUAUUGGGCGUAAAGCGCUCGCAGGUGGUUCGUCGCGUCGUGCGUGAAAGACCCCGGCUCAACUGGGGGAGGUCGUGCGAUACGGGCGGACUGGAGGCCAGUAGGGGGAUGCGGAAUUCCGGGUGUAGUGGUGGAAUGCGUAGAGAUCCGGAAGAACACCGGUGGCGAAGGCGGCCCGCUGGGCAACUGCUGACACUGAGGCGCGACAGCGUGGGGAGCAAACAGG